rnacentral:tRNA from 1 species
GCACUGCUACAACUGGACAAAAGACUGCCUUCUAAGCAGUCGGUCGAUGGUUCGAAUCCAUCAGGGGGCG